AAAAGAUAAUAAAAAGAGCGGAGAGGGAAGGUGGGGGAGAUUAAAUUUUAUUUGGGAAGAGAAAUAUAAAGACCUGUGAAACCCUAGUUUUGGCGAACAUCGGAUUCAAAAUCGAAUUCUUCCAUCUUGAGUUCAGAAGUUUGCAAUUUCUAUAGCUUGGAACAUGGAUGAUGAUCAGGAGAUGGAGAAGUUUGGAAUGGAUAAUGAUUUUGAGGGGGGGCAGUAUGUAGGUGCUGAAUUUUAUUAUGCUAGGCGUAAGGACAAGAGAACCCAGACGAAAGAUGAUGUGCUCUAUGGCGUCUUUGCGUCUGACGAUAGUGAUUCAGAUGAUUACUCUUCCAAGAAGAAGAAGAAGCGGAAAAAUGACCUGUCUAGAAAAGCUGACCUCACUAAGCCUGUUAGUUUUGUGUCCACUGGCGUUGUCAUGCCUAAUCAGGAAAUUGAUAAAAAUUCCGAGGAGGAAGAUAAAGAUCAGUAUGAUGAUACCCCUUCUGGUUUAGGGCUAGGUGCGUCUCGAUUUGGUUCAUCUGGCCUUGGUUUUAGUUCCGACGGAAAAGGAAAGCCAGCUGAAGAAGUGCAAGUUGAAACGGAAGAUGAUUAUUUGCCGACAUCUUUCGGAGAGAAGAUUAAGAAAGGUGCACUAUUGCGCCGGCAAGAGAAGGAAAAGGAGAAGUCAAAAAUUAAUCUCAAGUCGUCCCAAGGGGCAAGGAAGGAAUCAAGUAACCAUGGCAAUAUUGGUGGAUUCGAACAACACACCAAAGGGAUAGGAAUGAAGUUGCUUGAAAAGAUGGGUUACAAAGGAGGCGGGCUUGGAAAAAAUGAACAAGGUAUUGUGGCACCUGUUGAGGCAAAGUUGCGGCCUCAGAAAAUGGGAAUGGGUUAUAAUGAAUACAAGGAAGCUACUCUGCCUACAUUGAAGGAACUGGAAGAAAAAAAGUCUAUCCCCAAUGCAGUGCAGUCCUCAGAAAAUCGAUCGAAAGAGAAACUCUGGUCUAAGCAAGCACGAUCUAAGAAGAAGAAGAUGAAUUAUGUUACUGCUGAAGAAUUGCUGGCGAAGAAAGAAGAGCAGGGACUGGAAGUUGUUCAAAAGGUGUUUGAUAUGAGGGGACCGCAGGUUCGAAUCUUGACAAACUUGGAGAACUUGAAUGCUGAAGAGAAGGCUAGGGAAAAUGAUAUCCCAAUGCCUGAACUUCAGCAUAAUGUCAGAUUAAUUGUCGAUUUAGCUGAGCUUGAUAUACAGAAGUUAGAUCGAGAUUUGAGAAAUGAGAGGGAAACAGUGGUCAGUUUGCAGCAGGAGAAGGAAAGGCUUAACAAAGAGGUAGUGAACCAGAAGCAGCAGCUUGAUAAUAUGGAGGAGAUAGUUUCUGUCUUGGACACUAUAGGCAAUGAAAACUUGUCAGGAACAUUGACAUUGACCUCUCUUGCAAACUCAUUUGGGAACUUGCAAAAGCAAUAUGCUGAUGAUUACAAAUUGUGCAACUUGUCGUGCAUUGCCUGUUCGUUUGCUAUGCCUUUGUUCAUAAGGGUGUUUCAGGGAUGGGACCCACUCCAGAAUCCCGCACAUGGGUUGGAAGUUAUAUCCUUGUGGAAAAACCUAUUGCAAGGUGAUCUCACUGAUCCUGGUUCACCUUAUACACAGCUAAUAAUGGAAGUUGUUUUCCCAGCUGUUAGGAUAUCGGGCACUAAUACUUGGCAAGCAAGGGAACCAGAGCCGAUGCUUCGAUUUUUGGAGUCAUGGGAGGAGCUGCUGCCUAUUCCUGUUAGGCAGACCAUAUUAGACAAUGUAGUCAUGCCCAAGUUGUCAGCUGCUAUUGAUUCGUGGGAUCCCCGCAGGGAAACAAUACCGAUUCAUCUUUGGGUGCAUCCAUGGUUACCAUGGUUACGUCAGAAGUUGGAGAUUUUCUACCACACAAUUCGCAUCCGUUUGGAAAGUGUGCUUCAUGCUUGGCAGCCUGAUGAUAUUUCUGCAUUCUGUAUAUUGUCCCCUUGGAAGACUGUAUUUGAUUCAGCCAGCUGGGAGCAACUAAUGGUCCGAUAUAUUAUCCCAAAGUUGUUGACCGUCAUGCAUGAAUUUCAAGUAAAUCCAGCUAACCAAAAUCUUGAUAAGUUCUACCUGGUUAGGACUUGGGCUACUGCUAUUCCAAUUUCACACAUGCUUCAUUUAAUGGAUGUGUUUUUCAAUAAGUGGCAAGAAGUUCUGUACCACUGGUUAUGCUCACGCCCGAACUUUGAAGAAGUUACCAGCUGGUAUGUUGGUUGGAAGGAGCUUAUUCCUCCUGAACUUCUGGCAAAUGAACAUAUCCGAUACCGCCUUAAUGUGGGUCUGGAGAUGAUGAACAGAGCUUUUGAGGGUAUAGAGGUGGUACAACCUGGUAUGAGGGAGAACAUUAAUUAUCGCAGGCCGCCAGAGCAAAGACCGUUUGGGGCUCCGCAAACAGCAGCCUAUAAUGCUCAACAAGCUUCUGCCACCCCAGUUAGUGCAACACAGAUGGGGGGUAUAGGCGGUGGGAAUGAGAUGAGUUUGAAAGAUGUUAUUGAGUUUUAUGCGCAGCAGAAUGGAUUAUUGUUUAAGCCUAAACCUGGCAGAACUCAAGAUGGUCAUCAGAUAUAUGGCUUUGGUAAUGUUAGCAUUAUAAUUGAUUCUCUUAACCAGAAGGUGUUUGCACAAACUGAAGAGAAGUGGUCCUUGGUGUCACUUGACCAGCUUCCUGAGCUGCACAAUCGUUCUAUUUCAAGGCGACGUUAAAUUUCCAACUCAAAUGGUGUUUCUGAUUAUGAUUAUCAAUGAUUCACUGUUACACAGACUAUAAGCUGCAGAAGAUUAUAAUAUUUAUAAGAUUGAUGAUGCUAUCAUUUGAGGCCAAUGUGUUAAAGCGGCCUAUUUAUGGACAAUAAAGGCGAGGUUGCGUAUGUUGGAACCUGCCUAAAUCCUUCUGAUGUGGGAGUUGUGAACUACUAUUAUCCAUCCCCACCAUUGUGUUGGACUACCUGCAGAAUUUCCGCUUAUGAAAGAACAUUUUAUUGACAAUUUGGCGAAAUAUCACUAUCAGUAUAUGGUCCAACCAGUCCAAAUCCAGUAUGGGGAAAGAAAAGCCUGAUUGCUAGUUACUCAGGUGCAAGAUCCGCUGGAGAGUGGAGAUGUGUUCUCAACCCCGGGGUUGAGAGGGGAAUGAGCGACUAGAAACUUGUUUGAAUUUAAUGCUGGCAAUAGUUGUGUUCUUUGAGAUAUGCAGUUUGAAUUCUUUUUGGCACUAUGUUGUUUUAUAUAUAAGUUCUCAUUCGUAUAGAAAGUUGAUGUUUUUCUUUA